GCUGGAUGUAGAUGAGGAGGAGGAUGAGGAGGCUCUUUGACCUGGAGGGUGAUCGCUCACGGAGUAUCACCCCAGGUAGUGGUGCUGAUGAUCCACUACCAUCUCCGGAUGCAGAUGCUGGAUAUUCAUCACCCGGCCCCUCUGAUGCAGCACCAGAACCAUCCCCCGACGCAGCACCAGAA